UGCCUGCUUUGGUGCCGGGUUUCCCCCAGUU
rnacentral:piRNA from 1 species